ACGGCAGCGCGGGAGCAAUCCUGGCGGCGAGUGGCGAACGGGUGAGUAAUACAUCGGAACGUGCCCAAUCGUGGGGGAUAACGCAGCGAAAGCUGUGCUAAUACCGCAUACGAUCUACGGAUGAAAGCAGGGGAUCGCAAGACCUUGCGCGAAUGGAGCGGCCGAUGGCAGAUUAGGUAGUUGGUGAGGUAAAGGCUCACCAAGCCUUCGAUCUGUAGCUGGUCUGAGAGGACGACCAGCCACACUGGGACUGAGACACGGCCCAGACUCCUACGGGAGGCAGCAGUGGGGAAUUUUGGACAAUGGGCGAAAGCCUGAUCCAGCCAUGCCGCGUGCAGGAUGAAGGCCUUCGGGUUGUAAACUGCUUUUGUACGGAACGAAACGGCCUUUUCUAAUAAAGAGGGCUAAUGACGGUACCGUAAGAAUAAGCACCGGCUAACUACGUGCCAGCAGCCGCGGUAAUACGUAGGGUGCAAGCGUUAAUCGGAAUUACUGGGCGUAAAGCGUGCGCAGGCGGUAAUGUAAGACAGUUGUGAAAUCCCCGGGCUCAACCUGGGAACUGCAUCUGUGACUGCAUUGCUGGAGUACGGUAGAGGGGGAUGGAAUUCCGCGUGU
rnacentral:rRNA from 1 species